AACAGUAGUGUACUGGUUGACGAUGAUAUGGGAAGGUAUUUCGGUGCUAAGGUUGUUAUGGUACGGACUAGAGGCAGCCAUUUGAUGCUUUGCAUGGCUUAUGAGCUUCGUGAGGUAAAAUUGGCGUAUGGAAUGGGAUGAGAAACAUCAAUAUCAACUUUACGUGAUGUUGCUGGAUUGCUGGUUUGCUGCCCACUUGGAAUUCACAUUGCUAGGUCUAGGGUUCCUUCUCCAACAAUGCCAAAAAAAGAAACUGAAACCUUGUCAGAAUUCGAUGCAUUCAAUAUCAGAAUCAGACCCCUUGACGUUGAAGAAAAGAAGUGAUCUUGCAAUUCAGUGGAUUGGUCCGACUCCAGAG
rnacentral:misc_RNA from 1 species